UACGGGGGGGGCGAGCGUUGUCCGAAGUUACUGGGCGUAAAGCGCGUGUAGGCGGGUUGUUAAGUCCGCUGUGAAAGCCCGGUGCUCAACGCCGGAGGCUCGGUGGAUACUGGCAGUCUUGAAGUGGCUAGGGGGAAAUGGAAUUACCGGUGUAGCGGUGAAAUGCGUAGAUAUCGGUAGGAACACCAGUGGCGAAGGCGGUUUCCUGGAGCUAACUUGACGCUGAGACGCGAAAGCUGGGGGAGCAAACGGG
rnacentral:rRNA from 1 species